CUGCUUUUGAUUUGCUCUGACUCCAGCCCUGGCAGGCCCUAUCAGUGAGGCAGUUUCAAGGGGGAAAAUUGGAUUUGGAUAUUGUAAAUAAGGAAAGGAAGAUAGACAGGGUUGCCAUGCUACUAACUGGAAGAAACUUGAGACUGCUGAAAGGAGGAGGGAGGUGACCUUGCAGAACAGAUAUUGCUUGUGGGAAAAGAAGGCCUCCUAGUCUAUACCUGCUUCCAUGAGUGGACUACAUAUUGUUCAGUGAAUGUUUGUGCUUGACCUAGGUUUAUAAAAAAGAUUUG